rnacentral:tRNA from 1 species
ACUAUUUUGGCAGAAAAGUGCCAUGGAUUUAGAAUCCUUAUAUGUAAGAAUUACCUUACAGAUAGUA